AACGAACGCUGGCGGCAGGCUUAACACAUGCAAGUCGAACGCCCCGCAAGGGUAGUGGCAGACGGGUGAGUAACGCGUGGGAACAUACCCUUUCCUGCGGAAUAGCUCCGGGAAACUGGAAUUAAUACCGCAUACGCCCUACGGGGGAAAGAUUUAUCGGGGAAGGAUUGGCCCGCGUUUGAUUAGCUAGUUGGUGGGGUAAAGGCCUACCAAGGCGACGAUCCAUAGCUGGUCUGAGAGGAUGAUCAGCCACAUUGGGACUGAGACACGGCCCAAACUCCUACGGGAGGCAGCAGUGGGGAAUAUUGGACAAUGGGCGCAAGCCUGAUCCAGCCAUGCCGCGUGAGUGAUGAAGGACUUAGGGUUGUAAAGCUCUUUCACCGAUGAAGAUAAUGACGGUAGUCGGAGAAGAAGCCCCGGCUAACUUCGUG
rnacentral:rRNA from 1 species